UAAUUAAAAGAAAUGUAAACACUAGAAGGGCUAAACUUGGGCAAUACUAAAAUAGAAGUAUUAGAAGAUGGAAAACCCAAAACACAUACACUUGUGCGUGGCUGGGAUCGAACAAACAGGGGGGAAAGCAAGGUGAAACCCUUGUUUUGCAUAUUCAAUCAAUUGAAGUGAAAAUUCAAGGAUAAUCUAGUGCAUGAACUUCAAUUUACACUCAUCUAAACUCGAAUAUUGAAGUGGCGUGAAAGAAGAAGGUUCAAACACUAGGAAAUCGGAAGGCUCACAAGAUCGAGGUAAAUCCUCAACAUAAGCGAUUGGACGAUUUGGAACGAGCACACAUGAUCUAUGCCCACCUCACGCUUCCGACAAUGCUAACUUAAUGUGGUCUUAAUUUUUGGUUUUAUGUACUUUCAACUUAUGUAGUCUUUUGAUGUCCUUGUAGUAUGGUCAAUGACUUUGUCGUAGUAGUCUUGUUUUGAACAAUGUAGAUAAUGUCCGUUUUCGGUU